GUCGCGGUAGCUCAAUUGGUAGAGCACCAAAAAAGCUCGUCUUUCACGAACUUAUCUGAAAAGAAUGAUAGAGGGACGGUUAUCCACUGUUAAUGGGGUGUAUGUAGGUCCGAAUCCUACCCGCGGCG
rnacentral:tRNA from 1 species